rnacentral:rRNA from 1 species
CCUACGGGAGGCAGCAGUGGGGAAUAUUGGACAAUGGGCGAAAGCCUGAUCCAGCAAUUCCGCGUGUGUGAAGAAGGCCUUCGGGUUGUAAAGCACUUUAGUUGGGGAAGAAACAGCUUGGCCACACCAAGCCUUGACGGUACCCAAAGAAUAAGCACCGGCUAACUCUGUGCCAGCAGCCGCGGUAAUACAGAGGGUGCAAGCGUUAAUCGGAUUUACUGGGCGUAAAGGGUGCGUAGGUGGUUUUGUAAGUCGGAUGUGAAAGCCUGGGGCUCAACCUCAGAAUUGCACUCGAUACUGCAAGACUAGAGUUCGGUAGAGGGCGGCGGAAUUCCCGGUGUAGCGGUGAAAUGCGUAGAUAUCGGGAGGAACAUCAAUGGCGAAGGCAGCCGCCUGGGCCUGAACUGACACUGAGGCACGAAAGCGUGGGUAGCAAACAGGAUUAGAUACCCUGGUAGUCCACGCUGUAAACGAUGAGAACUUGACGUUGGUUCGUUUUACGAAUCGGUGUCGCAGCUAACGCGAUAAGUUCUCCGCCUGGGGAGUACGGCCGCAAGGUUGAAACUUAAAUGAAUUGACGG